rnacentral:misc_RNA from 1 species
AGGUUUUGUUGGUGGGUCAAGCCCCCCCACUGAUGAGACAGGGGUGGACCGGAACACCAUCAUUGUCAAUGAGACGGUUAGAAGCAGGUGUCCAAGGGACAGUGCCAAACCCAAGACGUAGAAACAUCUUAUCACGUCAAGGAUCAGCAAAGCAGACCCCACUGAUCCAUUUAGGAGGAGCUCGCUUCAAGGUGAAACCAGCAAAAGGCCUCCAAGUCCAAAAUCCUUUCAAAAGAAAGGUUUUGAGAAUAUCACGACACUCAAACGGGUGUGCCCCUCGGAAUGCCAAGGGGCGCAAGGUGCGUUCAAAGAUUCGAUGAUUCACUGAAUUCUGCAAUUCACAUUACGUAUCGCAUUUCGCUGCGUUCUUCAUCGAUGCGAGAGCCAAGAGAUCCGUUGUUGAAAGUUGUAUUAAUUGCGUGUCAUCGCAAAAGUAAAGACAUUCUGCACUGUAUCAAGUUUGUGUGAAAACGCAAGCCCCCCUCGGGACAAAGCCAAAAGGGAAGCCCACGCGGUGGUGCACAUAGGGUGAGAUGGAUGUUUGAGAGCACUUGGGCGUGCACAACAAAAAAUGUCAGCAACAGCCCUCGUGCCUCGGUUUUACAAUAA